rnacentral:lncRNA from 1 species
UAGUCGUUCCACAGCUGGUCUACGCUCUUCCCCAGGAUCUGCACGAAGUAGUCGUCGCUGUAUCCGUCCUUGAGCUUGCUGUUCAUCUCCGCCACGAACCCGGCCUUGAGCGAGUCGCAGUAGUCUAGGAACUUGGCCGUCACGUCGUACCCCUCGUCCCAACGGUCGCCGCUCCCCUACGGGCCCCAGUGCGUCGGCGCGAGGUCGGCCUUGAGCCGCACGUAGUCGGCGAUCCCCUCGAUGAGCCCUAGGUUCGCGCUGCCCUGCCCGUUCCACUGCCACACGUGCGUCGUCUCGUGGUACAACACACCUUUCACCUGCAAGUGCAUCGGCCAUGUAGUCAAUCUCUUUGUGUUGAUUAAUAAAUACUCUCUCUGUUCCUAAGUAUUUGUUAUUUUAAAGAUUUUAAUGGAUUAUCAUGUACUCUCUUCGUUCCUAAAUAUAAGUCUUUGUAGAGAUUUCAUUAUGAACCACAUACGGAUGUAUAUAGAUACAUUUUAAAUGUAGAUUCAUUCAUUUUGCUCUGUAUAUAAUCCAUCUAGUUGAAUCUUUAUAAAAACUUAUACUUAGGAACGGAGGAAGUACGAGUGUAUAUAUUAUUUUUUUCAAAACGGAGUACAAGUGUAUAUAGACGUAUUUUAGAGUGUAAAUUUACUUAUUUUGUUUCAUAUGUAGUCACUAGUUGAAAUUAAAAAAAAACAAAUAAAAAUAUUGAGGAAUGAAGGGAGUAAUAUACUCCUUCUGUCCCAUAAUAUAAGACGUUUUCUGACACUACACUAGUGUUCAAAAACAUCCUAUAUUAUAGGACGGAGGGAGUAGAAUGUAAGCUUGUCACGCCUCGCGCGAGGCGACGUGCAACAUAUAUAUCAUCUACCUCAUACUUGACGGCGGCGGCGUCGCCCUGGAUGCUGGCCACAUGCUGGGCUCCGAGUUUGAUGGCGUUGAGCAUGGUCACGCCCGCAUAUGCGAUGUCGUCGACCACGGUGAGGGUGACGGAGUCGUAUGGACUACGGUCUUCCGGGACAUUUAUAUAGGCUGCAGGGUAAUUCAAGUCGUUUGGAAUCGGUACCACCGGUGCGUAACAGCGAAGCAUCGACGUGUUCUUUCCAACAGGGCCAAACUUGCUUUGAUUUCUCUUUGACGACUGUGCCAGUGUGAGGUCUGAGGUGUCUGCCGUGUCUUUAUAGUGUUGAAUUUCGGUAUGAGGCGGGAAGGGCUUCCCCGCACAAGGGGGCAGCAAUAUUUUUCCAAUCCGAGGAAGUCCUUGUGCCGUGCUUGACUGCUCAAGUGCUCGUCAGUACGUACGUGUUAUGUUUUACGUUGAACAGAGUUUCUGUGGUUUUUAGAUUUUCCAUAUUCACGAUCGAUCAAGCGUACCCUAAAACAUGGUUCCAAGAUAAAUAAGCGGAAAUGGCGAACGUUCUCUAGGAAGAAUUUCCAGGGAACGCACCAGCAACCGUCAGAUUGGAAACACGAAUUGAAGCUGGCCUGGCGGACACGUCAGCUCAAACCAAACGUCUGUUGUGUAUGUUCCCUCGCGCGAACGUCCUCACCGGCAGGACCAUGUCCUCUGACCACCACACUGCCCGUAGCUUUUUUUUUUCUCGAAAAGGAGAAUGAUUCCUGGUCUCUGCAUAGACGAUGCAUAGAACUAUAUUAUUAAUUAUUAAUAAAGACUUUACAAGAUAACACAUCAGUAAAUCUGAAGUCAUCAUCUUAACAACUGUUGGGGAACGUAGCAGAAAAUAAAAAUUUUCCUACGGUUUCACCAAGAUCCAUCUAGGAGUUCAUCUAGCAACGAGUGAUUAGAUGCAUCUACGUACCUUGUAGAUCGCGAGCGGAAGCGUUCAAAGAACGGGGAUGAGGUAGUCGAACACGACGUGAUCCAAAUCACCGGAGAUCCUAGCACCGAACGGACGGUACCUCCGCGUUCAACACACGUACGGUCGGCGUAACGUCUCCUUCUUCUUGAUCCAGCAAGAGGGAAGGAGAGGUUGAGGAAGAUGGCUCCAGCAGCAGCACGACGGCGUGGUGAUGGUGAAGCUGCAAUACUCCGUCAGGGCUUCGCCAAGCACUAUGGAGGAGGAGGAGGUGUUGGAGAGGGAGAAGGAGGCAACCAAAGGCAUGGAUCAAAAGCCCUCCAUCCCCCACUAUAUAUAGGAGGGCCAAGGGGGGGGGGCGCCGGCCCUAGGAGAUCCAAUCUCCUAGGGGGGUGCGGCCAAGGGGGAGGAAUCCCUCCUCCCCAAGGCACCUAGGAGGUGCCUUCCCCUCCUAGGACUCUUCCUCCCUUGAAACCCUAGGCGCAUGGGCCUCUUGGGGCUGGUGCCCUUGGCCCAUGUAGGCCAAGGCGCACCCCCUACAGCCCAUGUGGCCCCCCGGGACAGGUGGCCCCACCCGGUGGACCCCCGGGACCCUUCCGGUGGUCCCGGUACAAUACCGAUAACCCCGAAACUUGUCCCUAUGCCCGAAACAGGACUUCCCAUAUAUAAAUCUUUACCUCCGGACCAUUCCAGAACUCCUCGUGACGUCCAAGAUCUCAUCCGGGACUCCGAACAACAUUCGGGUUACUGCAUAUACAUAUCCCUACAACCCUAGCGUCACCGAACCUUAAGUGUGUAGACCCUACGGGUUCGGGAGACAUGUAGACAUGACCGAGAUCGCUCUCCGGUCAAUAACCAACAGCGGGAUCUGGAUACCCAUGUUGGCUCCCACAUGCUCCUCGAUGAUCUCAUCGGAUGAACCACGAUGUCGAGGAUUCAAGCAACCCCGUAUACAAUUCCCUUUGUCAAUCGAUAUGUUACUUGCCCGAGAUUCGAUCGUCGGUAUCCCAAUACCUCGUUCAAUCUCGUUACCGGCAAGUCAUUUUACUCGUACCAUAAUGCAUGAUCCCGUGACCAGACACUUGGUCACUUUGAGCUCAUUAUGAUGAUGCAUUACCGAGUGGGCCCAGUGAUACCUCUCCGUCAUACGGAGUGACAAAUCCCAGUCUCGAUCCGUGUCAACCCAACAGACACUUUCGGAGAUACCUGUAGUGCACCUUUAUAGUCAUCCAGUUACGUUGUGACGUUUGGUACACCCAAAGCACUCCUAUGGUAUCCGGGAGUUACACGAACUCAUGGUCAAAGGAAAAGACACUUGACAUUGGAAAAGCUCUAGCAAACGAACUACACGAUCUUGCGCUAUGCUUAGGAUUGGGUCUUGUCCAUCACAUCAUUCUCCUAAUGAUGUGAUCUCGUUAUCAAUGACAUCCAAUGUCCAUAGUCAGGAAAUCAUGACUAUCUGUUGAUCAACAAGCUAGUCAACUAGAGGCUUACUAGGGACAUGUUGGUGUCUAUUAUUCACACAUGUAUUACGAUUUCCGGAUAAUACAAUUAUAGCAUGAAUACAGACAAUUAUCAUGAACAAGGAAAUAUAAUAAUAAUGCUUUUAUUAUUGCCUCUAGGGCAUAUUUCCAACAACAACAUAUGUCGCUACUUCUAUCCAAAUGAUAAAGGGGUGCCGAUUGUGGGAGCCAAAUACUAAACAGAUCUCGCACCAAAGCAUAACAUUUAAAGCUGGAGUCUCCAACCAAGCCGCAUUGCCAGGUAUGGGGCACACAUCGGUCCGACGCGCUCUUUCGCCGAUCCAUCUUCAGAGCAGGUACUAACGCAUCCACCUUGUCAGGCCUGCCGUCGACGCCACCAUGGCACCAAAUGACACCAUCUCCCUACGCGCGCCCAUCAUCACAUAUCCGUCGCCGAGACUCUUCUGCGCCACAUCGCCGAGACUCCACAUCGUCGAUGUGUCACCUAAACACCGCUCCACCGUAGUAUCCGUCCACCGGCCCCUCGAGCCAAUGCACACCUCAAGAAUGACGCCCCAAGGGGGAAUGACAUAAAAGCGCCGCCGUCAUCCGAUCAAACGAUCUAGGGUUUCCCCCGGCGGUAGCAGAUAGAAGUGUGGAGUUUCUCCAUGGUGAUGCCUUCAGGAAGGUGACGACAUAGAAGAGUGUUGUCAUCGCUGACCUUGGCAAGUAGCUGAGAGCAAAAUUUUCACCCGGAUCUGCUUGACGAACCUCCAUCUAGCAACUUAUGCACGUGCUGACACCGAUCUUUACCGCCGCGCAGCACGCAUACCACACCGGCCAAAUCAGAUCUGCCCGGAGGCCAUACACGUAUGUCGUUGACUUAUCCACCAGGCCAUCCACGCUGCCGCCACCGAUCCGUAACCAGAUGGUGCGCCGCCACAUCACCGGCCCAUGCGGCCUCCCAUGGUCGGCCCGCCCGCCGCCGCGCUGCUACUUGUGAGCUGCAUUGGGAUUUCCUCGAAGAAGAGAUGAUGAUGCAGUACAAUAGAGAUAAGUAUUUCCCCCCAGUUAAGAACCAAGGUUAUCAAUCCAGUAGGACAAUCAUGCAACACCUCGUUAGCAGUACCUACACACAAAAUAAUAAAUUAUUGCACCCAACGCAAACAAGGUGUUGUCAAUCCCUUGGCGGUUAAUUGUAAGGAUCAAAUCUCGUAGUGAUAGAUAGAUAACAAAAACACAAUAUAUAAUACAGGUAAAUAAAUUGCAGCAAAAUAUUUUUGAUUUUAAUAUAUGACAAAGAUAGACCAGGGGGCCAUAGUUUUUCUCUAGAGUCUUCUCUCUUUAACAUAGUGUACGAUGGGUAAACAAAUUACUAUUGGCCAAUUGAUAGAAAAGCGAAUAAUCAUGACGAUAUUUAAGGCAAUAAUAAUGUAUAUAGGCAUCACGCCCGAGACAAAUAGACCGAAUCCUGCCUGCAUCUACUACUAUUACUCCACAUAUCGACCGCUAUCCAGCAUGCAUUUAGAGUAUUAAGUUCAUAAAGAACGAAGUAACGCCUUAAGCAAGAUGACAUGAUGUAGACAAAGUAAAUCUAAUUAAUAUGAAUAAACCCCAUCAUUUUAUCCUUAAUGACAACAAUACAAAUACGCAUCAUGUCCUCUUCUGUCACUGGGAUUAAGCACCGCAAAAAUCGAACCCAUCACAAAACACCUCUCCCAUUGCAAGAUAAAUCAAUCUAAUUGGCGAAAUCAAACGGAUAGAUCGGAGAGAAAUACAAAGCUAUAACGAUCAUGCAUAAAAGAGUUUAGAGAAGACUCAAAUAAUAUUCAUUGAUAAUCUGAUCAUAAAUCCACAAUUCAUCGGAUCCCAACAAACACACCGCAAAAAGGGAUUACAUCGAAUAAAUCUCCAAAAACAUCAAGGAGAACAUUGUAUUGAAGAUAAAGAGAGAGAAAAGAAGCCAUCUAUCUACUAGUUAUGGACCCGCAGGUCUGUGGUAAACUACUCACACAUCAUCGGAGAGGCAGCAAGGUUGAUGUAAAAGCCCUUGAUUGAUUCCCCUCCGGCAGACUGCCGGAAAAGGCCUCCAGAUGGGAUCUCGCGAGAACAGAAACUUGCGGCGGUGAAAAAGUAUUUUGGGUGGCUCUCUGUUGAUUUCCUGAUUUUAGAGAAUUUAUAAAGGCGGAAUUAGGUCAAAUGGAGCAAUGAGGAGCCCACGAGGCACCAGGGCGCACACCUACCCCCUGGGCGUACCCUGGUGGCUCGUGGCCACCCCUUCGUCUUCUGACUUCCUCCCGAAGCUUCUAGUGUCUUCUAUGUCCAGAAAAAAUCGUCAAAAAGUUUCGUGGCAAUUGUACUUCGUUUGGUACUGAUUUCCUGAAAAACCAAAAACAGGCAAAAAAUAACAACUGACACUUGGCACUAAGUUAAUAUGUUAGUCCCAAAAAACAUAUAUAAUUACAUAUGAAAAAUCCAAGAUUGAUACUAUAAUAACAUGGAAUAAUAAAAAAUAUAGAUAUGUUGGAGACAUAUCACGCGCCGCCACCUGCAGCAGCCAUUGCGGCGCUGCCUAGAAUGGAUCGGCCGCGCCUCCACAUAUUUUGUAGCCCCGUAGCACCCCUACGACGCGAGAGAUAGGGACUCCUCCGCCACCGCCAUCCGUCUCUGGGCUUAGCUCGGCAGCAUCCCCCGACGACGGCGAAGGUAGAGAAGGAGGGUGAUACGGAGCAUCGUGCAGUCAUCCCCAUGGACGUACCUUCGUAUUUCAAGACACCACGUGGACCAAUGACUAGAGCUCAUGCAAGGGCUAUCGAAGCCGAGGUGAACUCGCUCCUCUCUGAACUUACUCAUUCUUCAUGCGAGACAUGGCUACUAUCUCAAGCGAAGACCUUGUGUGUGAUCAGUUACUUGGAGGAAGGCCAUGAAACAACUAUGGCAAAUGGACAAGAUGGUGACACCGAGCGCGAGAACCAAAAGGAACAUAUGACAGAAACUCACAGCCACCGGAUGACCGACCGGUUUUGGACGUCCGGCGAACUGACGAACAACCAGACAAAAGGCCCAGCUGACAAUACCUACAUCGGCUGGACGACCGACAUGUACUGUGCGUCCGACGUCCUCCAGCGACCAGACGACCGAUAGCCUCCGGGCGAUUGGUGCCACGUGUCCAAUACCAAAAUGUUAGAAAAUCGAAGCUUUCUGGACAACCGAUGCCCCGGACGCUCGACAUCGUCCGGAAAUCCCACGACACCUUAAUAGAGCCGAAACACCGGAUGUCUGAUCCUUACCGGACAUCCAGUACCUCGCGAGACACCGGACGACCGGUAAUGCCCGCAAGUCCGACACCUGUCUGCGCACAGCGACUCGGGCCGAUGCCCAUGUACCCCUUCACUUCCCUAGACUAUAUAUACUCAUCUCCGAUUUAAAUUUUAGGGUUAGCAAAGUGAUAGCUCAGAUCAGAGAUUGAGUUUUGCUCAUCCACUACCUACUCCAAUGGAGUCCAAGACCUCCAUGUGAGAAAAUCCCCUAGUGGAUUGAAGACCCCCGUGGGAAGAUCCUCCAAGGAUUCAAGACCUCUCUCCUUCAAGGAUUGAGAUGAACUAGCUACCCUUUGUAUCCUCUUGUGUUGAUUUUGGAUCUUGUAUCUCCUCUUGUGUAUGUGGAUUUAGCACAUGUGUGAUUGGAUCUGGUCUAUUUGAGUGUUCAUCUUGUGCUUCUCUUGAUUUGCCUCUCUUUCCCCCCUCAAAGUGUGAAAAGAUCAACCAAUUAGGGUUUCACCCUACAUCAUCUUGGAUCAGAGCCAAGGUUGAUUCACACUUUGGAGUCUCCCUCUCCAUUUUCUAGCCCCAAUUUUGUGUGUUUUUGCCCAAUUUUAAAAAUCCCCACAAAAAUAGCCAUAUCAAUUUUGUUUUGUGAUUUGUUGGUUUAAUGAACUUUUGUUGAUUUUGAUUCAUGGAUUUGAUGUGUUUUAGGUGGACAAACCCUGAUCCGUACCAAAAACCAACCCUGAUCCGUAUCAAAAACCAACCCUGACUCGUACAACAUAGGGACACUUCCCCUCCGGCUGAAGGAUCGGCCGGGGAGGUGAGCCGCCUUUGCGCUAAAGCAUAUACCUCCGGACUCACGGUUGUCAGACAUGGGGACGACAAUGGAGAUCCGCCGCGGCCGGCAGUAGACUAGUUAAGGGUAUCCAUGUCGUCAGAAUGGAUAUCCGCUGGUGCCGGCCGUAGACUAGUUUUAUCUUACUCCGGUAUCGUCUUUAGUUAAAAAUAUGUCCAAAAUAUAAAUGUUUUCGUCUGAUUUUCAUGAAAUUGUUCGUGUUUGCAUGAAUUUCAUCCAGUUUGUUGAAAAAAUGUUUGAAAUAAAUACGGACAGAGUGUUCGUGGACUGGUCUUCUUGUCCAUGAACAAAUGUGAGAGAAAAUUUGCGGGUCACCUUUGGAGAUGCUGUAAAGAAAGUGACUGAUGUUCAAUGUAUUUCAGGCAACCGAUGACAUGACCUAUAGACGGUCCCUUUGUCUCGUCAAUUCGUUAACACACACCGUGCCAACGCUGAUUUAUUCCAUUCCAGGCAGUACAUAAAUUGUACAGUAAUACAAGUACUCCCUCUGUAAACUAAUAUAAAAGUGUUUAGAUUAUUAUUUUAGUGAUCUAAACGCUCUUAUAUUAGUUUACAGAGGGAGUAUAAUGUAUCUGUAUGUAGACGAAGACCGGUACACAUACAACAACAAACUGCAUGCAUCGUCGAUCAGCCCUGGGGCUGGGGGUACUUGGCCUUGUAGUCGUUCCACAGCUGGUCCACGCUCUUCCCCAGGAUCUGCACGAAGUAGUCGUCGCUGUAUCCGUCCUUGAGCUUGCUGUUCAUCUCCGCCACGAACCCGGCCUUGAGGGAGUCGCAGUAGUCCAGGAACUUGGCCGUCACGUCGUACCCCUCGUCCCAACGGUCGCCGCUCCCCUGCGGGCGCCAGUGCGUCGGCGCGAGGUCGGCCUUGAGCCGCACGUAGUCGGCGAUCCCCUCGAUGAGCCCGCCGUUUGCCCUGCCCUGCCCGUUCCACUGCCACACGUGCGUCGCCUCGUGGU